UCAAACAGCUAAACUCAGUGGCCCCUGCCAUGGUUUCGCGUUGGCUGCGUCCUUUGCACUUUGUUCCAGUUCAGGGAAAUGCGGACUGCAGAGCUCCCCUUCUGUGCUCCAAGCUCACUAACAGCCCAUCUACACCACUCCAAGUUUAUUACAUUCGAGUGAUAAUGAUGCAGGGCUGCAUCUCACCCAGCACCUGAGAAAAGGGCAACUUCGUUUAACUCUUUUGGUCAUUUAUCCUACUUUUUAAAGCCUUCAUGGCCCUACCGAGGUCCUGAGUCACGCGGAAGACGCCGAAUCAGCGCGCUGCAGACAGGCAGGUCUGUGCACGCACUACCGAGGUCCUGAGGCACGAGGAAGACGCCGAAUCACCCCGCUGCAGACAGGCAGCCACCUGAUUCCACAAUAAAAAGACGCAGAGGACACCAGACCACCAGACCUAGGAAUCGAACUUAGGAUCUUGUGCUUGCCAGGCAGCCAUGGCACCACUGAGCUACAUCCCAGGCCCUUGAAAUGCCCAUUUUUGGAUUGAAGACCGUGGUUUUCAUUCUGCAUCUACCUUUUGUCCCUAAGCUAAGUUUAAUGACACUGUGAUGGGUAAGUGAAGCAUGACAGAGGACACUGUAUUCAACCAGUCAUUUAUUUCAGUUCUUGUGUGAUCACUGUCUGUAAGACACUGAAGACACUGACCAUCUCCUUCUUAAGCAUCAUAAAAUAAUGACGGAAUGAGUGAGUGAACAAACUCUGCAACUCUGAAUCCCUUUCAGUGACUAGAAUUAUAUCUGAAAGAGAAAAGGUUUUCAGUUUCUAGUUUAAUACAUUAACUUGGUUGGCUAUGGUCCUGAUAUUUUAUUAUAGGCUUUUGUAGUAAGAAUUAGUUCUAUAGCUUGUUAGAAAAUAGAAUGUUUGGG
rnacentral:lncRNA from 1 species